AAACGUAAGGUUAAUUCCCGCAACGAGCGCAACCCUUAUCCUUGUUUGCCAGCACUUCGGGUGGGAACUCCAGGGAGACUGCCGGUGAUAAACCGGAGGAAGGUGGGGACGACGUCAAGUCAUCAUGGCCCUUACGAGUAGGGCUACACACGUGCUACAAUGGCGCAUACAGAGGGCGGCCAACUUGCGAGAGUGAGCGAAUCCCAAAAAGUGCGUCGUAGUCCGGAUCGGAGUCUGCAACUCGACUCCGUGAAGUCGGAAUCGCUAGUAAUCGUGGAUCAGAAUGCCACGGUGAAUACGUUCCCGGGCCUUGUACACACCGCCCGUCACACCAUGGGAGUGGGCUGCAAAAGAAGUAG
rnacentral:rRNA from 1 species